rnacentral:rRNA from 1 species
UACGAAGGGGGCUAGCGUUGUUCGGAUUUACUGGGCGUAAAGCGCACGUAGGCGGCUUUGUAAGUUAGAGGUGAAAGCCCGGGGCUCAACUCCGGAAUUGCCUUUAAGACUGCAUCGCUAGAAUUGUGGAGAGGUAAGUGGAAUUCCGAGUGUAGAGGUGAAAUUCGUAGAUAUUCGGAAGAACACCAGUGGCGAAGGCGACUUACUGGACACAUAUUGACGCUGAGGUGCGAAAGCGUGGGGAGCAAACAGG